AAUGAACGUUGGCGGCAUGGAUUAGGCAUGCAAGUCGAGCGAGAAGGGUUUUGAAGCUUGCUUUAGAACCCGGAAAGCGGCGCGAGGGAGAGUAACGAGUAGUUAUCUACCCCAAGGCCCGGAAUAGCUGCGGGAAACUGCAGGUAAUGCCGGAUAAUAUCCCCGGAUCAAAGGUGUGAUUCCGCCUUGGGAGGAGACUGCUUUGUACUAGCUAGUUGGUAGGGUAAUGGCCUACCAAGGCUACGAUGCAUAGCGGGCGUGAGAGCGUGGCCCGUCUCACUGGGACUGAAACACUGCCCAGACACCUACGGGUGGCUGCAGUCGAGAAUCUUCGGCAAUGGGCGAAAGCCUGACCGAGCGAUGCCGCGUGCGGGAUGAAGGCCCUCGGGUUGUAAGCCGCUGUCGUAGAGGAGAAAGGUCUGAUGAAGAAUCAGAUUUGAUCUAUUCUAGGAGGAAGUCGGGGCUAAGUUCGUGCCAG
rnacentral:rRNA from 1 species